UACAAGCCCUAAACUGCAGAACACGGGUGCCAGGUGGAGGGUGUAAAGAAGCCCUGAGAGGCUGCAGAUCAUGGACACCUGGACGGUGGGUCCUCGUGUCCCACGCCCUCAUCCCAGAGUGGUGCCUUCGAGAGGGAGAUUCUCAAUAAAUAUGGCCGAAGGACUCAACCUGUGGGACUCUCUUCCAAGCAGUCCGGGGUCCCUCGUUGGCUGGCACCCUCUACCUGGUUCAGUGGUGAACUUCGAUGCUGGCCGGUGCUGUGGAACCCAAAGGAUCCAUGCCCUGUUCCCACACUGGGCAGCAUCUCUUCAUGGAGGCCCACUCCACCUGUGAGUCCUUAAACGUGCUCUCCAACUCCCGUCUGCAAGCCUGACUAGCACUCUCAUGAACCACAUUGCCCUGUUUCUUCCAAGAGAAGAGUUGAGGAUAUCUUCUGGCAAGACUGACUUGUUUUUCUGACAAAGCAGCUUUUCAUUUCGAGAUGGCAUUGUUUCCCAGGUCCAAACAACAGCUACUGAAUCUCAAUAUGGAGCCCAUAGAUCAACACAGGAAGCCACAGAAGGAAAGGGCUUUAUCAAUCCUUACUAGCAAUCUCCUUUAAAUAGAUUACAUUACGAUAAAUCAGCUGAAUGUUAUAUGUUGCUCUUACUUGGACUUACUUAUUACCUGUUUUAUCUUAAAGAAAAAGUCUUCGUUUUUUUUUUACUUUCACUUCCCCAAACAACUCUCAAAUUCAUUACACCAACAGUCAAACUCAUACUCCUAUUUAAGUAUUCGGGUUGUAAAACAGCAAACUAUAUUCUUCUUAAUGAGUUUUCAGGUCUUUUAUUUUUAUUAGCAGCAAGAAAUAUGAAGCUUGGCACAUAGUUACUCAACAAAUAUUCAGUUAUCCUUUUGGCUUCACUCAGCUAGGUUACGUUUUCCAGCCCAAAUGAGACCAUGUGUGUGAGACUGCCAUUAAUAGUGCAUGCCCAUGUCUGUUUUCUCCUUGAGGUUUUGCUACUGACUUCAGCUUUUAAGUAAUUAUUGACAAUAUAAAUGAGUCUACUUUGUAAA